rnacentral:rRNA from 1 species
CCAGACUCCUACGGGAGGCAGCAGUGGGGAGUAUUGCACAAUGGGGGAAACCCUGAUGCAGCGACGCCGCGUGAGCGAUGAAGUAUUUCGGUAUGUAAAGCUCUAUCAGCAGGGAAGAAAAUGACGGUACCUGACUAAGAAGCCCUGGCUAACUACGUGCCAGCAGCCGCGGUAAUACGUAGGGGGCAAGCGUUAUCCGGAAUUACUGGGUGUAAAGGGUGUGUAGGCGGGAGUGCAAGUCAGACGUGAAAACUAUGGGCUCAACCCAUAACGUGCGUUUGAAACUGUGCUUCUUGAGAGUGGGAGAGGUAAACGGAAUUCCUGGUGUAGUAGUGAAAUGCGUAGAUAUCAGGAGGAACACCGGUGGCGAAGGCGGUUUACUGGACCACAACUGACGCUGAGACACGAAAGCGUGGGGAGCAAACAGGAUUAGAUACCCCAGUAAAA